UGCGUAGGAGGCCCGUUAAGUCAGGGGUGAAAGGCUGUAGCUCAACUACAGAAUUGCCUUUGAUACUGACAGGCUUGAAAUAAAUUGAGGUUGGCGGAAUGUGACAUGUAGCGGUGAAAUGCAUAGAUAUGUCAUAGAACACCAAUUGCGAAGGCAGCUGACUAGAUUUUAUUUGACGCUGAGGCACGAAAGCGUGGGGAGCGAACAGGAUUAGAUACCCUGGUAGUCC
rnacentral:rRNA from 1 species